GUGUCAGCAGCCGCGGUAAGACGGAGGAGGCAAGCGUUGUCCGGAAUCAUUGGGCGUAAAGAGCGCGUAGGCGGUUUUUCAAGUCGUAUGUGAAAACUUCAGGCUUAACCUGACGAUUGCAUAUGAAACUGGAUAACUUGAGUACAGCAGAGGAAAGUGGAAUUCCUGGUGUAGCGGUGAAAUGUGCAGAUAUCAGGAAGAACACCAGUAGCGAAGGCGGCUUUCUGGGCUGUUACUGACGCUGAGGCGCGAAAGCUAGGGGAGCGAACAGGAUUAGAUACCCUGGUAGUCCUAGCCGUAAACGAUGGACACUAGGCGUGGGAAGUUAUCGACGCUUUCUGUGCCGAAGCUAACGCAUUAAGUGUCCCGCCUGGGGAGUACGGCCGCAAGGCUAAAACUUAAAGGAAUUGACGGGG
rnacentral:rRNA from 1 species